AGUAUUUAAGGACAUUUGGAUCCUUGGUUAUCCAACAAUGAAUAUAGAUCUGCUUGUUCUUUCUUAUUAAUAACUGGCUCAGACUUUGGAUUAAACUUGAAGAUUUCUCUCACUUUACUCAUGGAUAACUUCCUGCUUCUUUCUGAAUCGUUCGGGCAGAACUACCCAGAGGUAAGACACCAGCUCUUAGCACAAUACAUGAGCGUGUUAGAAGCCCGG
rnacentral:lncRNA from 1 species